CAACCAGCGAUUAACAAACAAUAUCAAUGCGUUACCCGUAGAGAAAUAUUUCAUUUAACCUUUGGUGCACGAAUUAUCCUUGACAGAGUCCAUUUUGAUAUAGGUAUUUGUUGUUGUGUGUGGUGGUGUUCGUUAGGCUACUUAAUGGAAGAAUUAUCUAACCGUGGCGGUUUUCGUGGUGGAGCACGAGGUGGUAGGGGUGGUCCAGGAAGGGGUGGCCCUCCAAGAGGUCGUGGAAGUUUUGGAGAUGGUAUGCGAGGAAGGGGUGGUCGUGGUGGCAUGAUGAGAGGUGGACCUCAAGGUCGAGGAGGUAGAGGUGGCCCCCCAAGGGGUGGUGGUAUGGGCCGUGGAGGAGACCGAGGUUUUGGUGGCCUUGGUGGAAGAGGACGAGGCAUGGGUAUGAGAGGCCGUGGAGACUUUGGUUCAAGGGGAGAUGGACGUGGUGGUGGUGGUGGUUUUGGAGGUAGAGGUCGUGGAGGUCGUGGGAUUGACCGAGGAGGACGUGGAGGUCGUGGUUUUGACAGAGGAGGUCGUGGUGGCGGAGCUCCCAUGGGUGGUGACCGAUACGGACCACCUCCAGCAAAGCGUGGUGGUAUGGUACCACCACAGGGUGGACCAAUGGCCAAGAGAGGUCGAUUUGAAGGAGCACAAGGUGCUAAUGGUUAUUCUGCUCAUCCUCAUCCUUCGAGCCAAUAUUCUGGUGGCGCGUUUGAGGCACGUGGAGUAGCACAGGUUACUAGCUAUCCUCCACCACCCAUCACCUCAGCCUAUGGAGGAGAAGCUGGCCAUACGUACCAAGCUGAUGGAGCAGGGCGCCAUUAUGAUGGGUCAGCUGAGGCUGCGCCAUAUGGAGCAAACCAAACAUAUGGAAGUGGAAGUCAGGCUUAUGGAGGAAGCGGUGGCUACACAAGUGGUGCUGCAGGCUAUGAAGCUGGAGAUUAUGCAGCGGGUGGGUACAGUCAGCCUGUUCCUGAUGCCGGGGCAGGAUAUGGCCCGCCACCGAGCACGGCCGGAGGCGGAUACUCGCAACCAGACACCUACCAGUCCUACAGUAAACCAGCUGCGGCUCCAGAGACCUAUGGAGGAGGUUACACCAGUGGGACAGGAUACAACACAGCCUCUGGCUAUGAUGACAGGGGCUACUCAACAUCAACAAAUACUUAUGAAACACCGGGUUAUGGUGGAGGUUAUGGGAAGGCAGAAUAUGGAACCUGAAUGAUACCAGUGGCGGUCUUGUUCCUAUGUGAGAGCAUGCAUGGCGAGCUGCUUUGCCAUAUGGCAAAGGCAUUCAGUGGCAUUGAGAUAUGCUGUGUUGAUUUGAUGCCAUACAUUGCCGUAUGUUUAGCUUCUGCACAGCUCUGUGUUUGGCUUGGUAGUUGAAAGUACGCCGCGUCCAUCGGCUUUCGGGUAUAGCAGUAUUUGCUUUGUGGUUGCUGAAAUCUCAGAUGCUGGAAGAAAUGGUUACUCUAUGUGGUCAGCAAGUAGUACAGUUUAGUUUCGAUAUAUGUGGCUCACUGUGCAUAGCUUGCAGUCUUUGAAUUGCCAUGUAUAUCGGAAACAGGUAGUCAUUGUUGGAUGACUUGGAUGAAAUGAAUGGUAGAAGUGAUCCCACAAGCGCUACAACUCUGAAAUAAAAUCGUGGAUAUGUGAAAACAUGGCUGACAAAAGUAUGUGUAAUGAGAGUUCUCUGUAUUAUAUUGUAGUUCUGUCAUGGCCGUUUAUUUGCAAGAAUGCAGUGUCAGAAAUUACACUGAUAUUUGUUUUGUUAAGCGACAGGUAUGUGAUAGAGCGUAAUACCAAGCUUUAUGAACUUUGCAUGUAUUUUUCUUAUUUGAAUGAUUUCUUACCUGUCAUGUGGUCCUCUUAGUACCUCCUUAUAUAAGGGUAGUAGUUCAUAAUAGAAUGUAACUACUUUUUGUAGGUCCUUGUUUGACAUUACAGUCUAGUCAGUUGAAAAAUCAUUGUUGUCUUGAUUCUCCCAGUAUGUCUAGUCUCAGGGUAUGCCUCCUUUUCCUGUGUAUUACCCUCUCACUCUUCAACUGUACAUCAUGUGACCUACUUUGUAAUUUUGAAGCAGCUGCCAGAUUGCGUGUGCAGUAAAAGUCUCCAAGUUUAUAUUUUUUUAUUUCAAGGUUAUACCAUAUUUAACCAUAAGAUACAUACCUUAAUUUUUUAUGGUUUUUAAUUUUAAAAAAUAGCUGGUACGCCAUUUUUGUUCAUAAAUGGAGAGAGACAGGUAAGAUAUUUUUCUAUUUGUUCGGCAGUUAUCGCUUCAAAUUUUCAGAUGAGUCCCUAGGAGGACAUUUGAAGUGUGUUUCAUUCCCUGUGGGAUCUUUGCUAAUUCACGUUAUAGAAAAAGGUAUUGCAGCUAUUUAUUCUUUUUAGUUUUUAUCAGCCAGUGCAUCAUUAUCACAUUUCAGAUUAUUUUCUAUCAACGUAAUCUGUUUUGCUAGUUACUUUAUUACAGAUGCAAAUGCAGAAUUACACUAUCCUGAAGCCCGGCAUUUCUUUCCUUGUAUGUCGUUAAAUAUUUGCCUCAUCGAGUAGUUUUUAUAAUAUUUGGUUUUAUAUUUAUAUAUCCUGUGCUAAUUUCUGAAGUUUUUAAUAACACUGAACAGCAAUGUGUGUAAUCAGUCUAAAAAGAAACCCUGUGAUUACGGUAAUUUUAAAUUGAGAGGAUGAAUCCAACGUAAGUAGUGUGGAUGAGCCAAUUGUAUGACCAUAUCUAACAUUUUUAUCAAGAGUUAAUCUGUGAGUACAGUUGAUGCUCUUUUGUUAUUGUUUUUAACCUCAAAAAUUUUGUUUUAUGUUUUUCAAGGAACAGUUAUAUAUGUUUCAGAUGAGUAGAAAAUAAAGGUCAUAGCAGUAUAUCUACUCUGUGCAGUGUUGUCCUCUGGUGAUUUUAUUUCUGCCAUUUCAUAUGAGAAGAACUGGGUGCUUGAAAGGUGAAGCAACGUGUAUGUUCAGAAGAUAUUGUAUUUAUAAAUGUUACUGAUUGUUGGAAAUCUGAAUAUAAAAUAAAGUUCUUCAAAUUGAA